GAUAAGGUGGCUGAGGAAUAGGCGAUAGAUUGUAAAUCUAUAAACAAGUUUAAACUUUCUUAUUA
rnacentral:tRNA from 1 species